AUACGGGGGGUGCGAAGCGUUAUUCGGAAUUAUUGGGCGUAAAGGGCGCGUAGGCGGUUGAAUAAGUCAGAUGUGAAAGCCCUUGGCUUAACCAAGGAAGUGCAUUUGAUACUAUUUGACUUGAGUAUGGGAGAGGGAAGUGGAAUUCCUGGUGUAGAGGUGAAAUUCGUAGAUAUCAGGAGGAACACCGGUGGCGAAAGCGACUUCCUGGACCAAUACUGACGCUGAGGCGCGAAGGCGUGGGGAGC
rnacentral:rRNA from 1 species